rnacentral:rRNA from 1 species
AUGUACUAUCAAUACAGGCCGUGUUGCACUGAUCUUUUCUGAUCUUGAAAGCUAAGCAGGACCAACUCUUGUUUCUACUUGGAUGGGAGAGUAUUUGGGAACAACAAAUACUGUAAGCU